CUCUGUGAAAUGAAAUAUCAAAUUAUACGACGAGCACAAAGAGGAAUACGAAAAAAACAAUUACAUUUGACUUCGCCGCCCGCCAAUUUAAAUUGUCUGUCCGACAAAAUUUAAGGUUUUUGAAAGAUAAUGAGUUCAACAAGCCAAUGUGCAGCAAAGAGGAGCCGCGCUUCAGGCGAGCAAAUUGAAAGGCUGCUGGACUACUUGUCGGAGUGCCCGGGACUAGCAGCAGGCAAAUUCCAAAAGAUGCACGGUAAGUCUGAGAGCGACAGGAAGUGGAGUGAGCUGGAGGCAAGUCUAAAUACCAUCGGCGGAGCUGUGAAGACUGUCGAACAAUGGCAAACAGUGUGGCGCGGUCUGAAAAGCCGUACAAGUGUCAGGGUACGGGACAUGAAGAGGCAGCAAGCGUUAACCGGCAACCGGCCGGUUAAUCAGCAGCCCAUAACAGAGGUUGAGAGGCGAGUUAUGGCGCUCAUCGGCAGCGAGUACAUUGAGGGCAAUGGAAGAGUUGUCAAAAAUGUGCCUGUGGAAGAGGAUGGAGACGAUAGUGUUACCUCCGUACUACCGACUACCACAGCAGCUGACGAUGGCGAGGUGAUGUGUGCGACACCCCGUAUUCCUGCUAAAAGGACUCCGCGUAGGAGUCUAAAAAGGAAGCGAGAAGAUGAGGAGAAGGAGAUGCAGGCCAAGUUCCUGGAAGUGUCCAGCAAGCAAGCAGAUGCUUGAAAGGUGUGGCGCGAUCUGAAAAGCCGUACAAGUGUCAGGGUACGGGACAGGAAGAGGCAGCAAGCGUUAACCGGCAACCGGCCGGUUAAUCAAGAGCCCAUAACAGAGGUUGAGAGGCGAGUUAUGGCGCUCAUCGGCAGCGAGUACAUUGAGGGCAAUGGAAGAGUUGUCGAAAAUGUGCCUGUGGAAGAGGUAAUAUGGAGUCAGGUGAUAUUUUGAUUCCUCAUUUCUAAAGCUUUUUAUAUUCCUCAAUCGAAUUUGCAAUUGCAUUUGGAGGAUGGAGACGAUAGUGUUACCUCCGUACUACCGACUACCACAGCAGCUGACGAUGGCGAGGUGAUGUGUGCGACACCCCGUAUUCCUGCUAAAAGGACUCCGCGUAGGAGUCUAAAAAGGAAGCGAGAAGAUGAGGAGAAGGAGAUGCAGGCCAAGUUCCUGGAAGUGUCCAGCAAGCAAGCAGAUGCUUGAAAGCUGCUAGCUGAAUGUAGUGCCGCCAAUACAGAAACCAACAAAUUGAUGGUUGAGGCGUUUAACAGAUUGGUGGACGUCAUUAGCUCCUGGACUUAAUAUUUUUAUAGAUAUUUUUAAUUUAAGCUACAUAAGCAUUAACUAUUUUAACUUAUCACAGCGCGAGUGACGAAAGCAGCCACAGUAGCAUGCUGAAAUGACUCGCUUAUAUAUACACGAGA